rnacentral:rRNA from 1 species
UACAGAGGUCCCAAGCGUUGUUCGGAUUCACUGGGCGUAAAGGGUGCGUAGGUGGCAGGGUAAGUUUGAUGUGAAAUCUCCGAGCUUAACUCGGAAACUGCAUUGAAUACUAUUCUGCUCGAGGGUUGGAGGGGGGACUGGAAUUCUCGGUGUAGCAGUGAAAUGCGUAGAUAUCGAGAGGAACACCAGUGGCGAAGGCGAGUCCCUGGACAACUCCUGACACUGAGGCACGAAAGCUAGGGUAGCAAACGGG